rnacentral:rRNA from 1 species
AACGAACGCUGGCGGCAUGCCUAACACAUGCAAGUCGAACGAGACCUUCGGGUCUAGUGGCGCACGGGUGCGUAACGCGUGGGAACCUGCCCUUAGGUUCGGAAUAACUCCCCGAAAGGGGUGCUAAUACCGGAUAAUGUCUUCGGACCAAAGAUUUAUCGCCUUUGGAUGGGCCCGCGUUAGAUUAGCUAGUUGGUAGGGUAAAAGCCUACCAAGGCGACGAUCCAUAGCUGGUCUGAGAGGAUGAUCAGCCACACUGGGACUGAGACACGGCCCAGACUCCUACGGGAGGCAGCAGUGGGGAAUAUUGGACAAUGGGCGAAAGCCUGAUCCAGCAAUGCCGCGUGAGUGAUGAAGGCCUUAGGGUUGUAAAGCUCUUUUAACCGGGAUGAUAAUGACAGUACCGGGAGAAUAAGCUCCGGCUAACUCCGUG